ACUCAAAUGAAUUGACGGGGACCCGCACAAGCAGCGGAGCGUGUGGUUUAAUUCGAAGCAACGCGAAGAACCUUACCAGGGUUUGACAUGCAGUCGCACCACCCAGAGAUGGGUGUGCCCGCAAGGGACGGCUGCACAGGUGCUGCAUGGCUGUCGUCAGCUCGUGUCGUGAGAUGUUGGGUUAAGUCCCGCAACGAGCGCAACCCCCAUCGUCGGUUACUGGUGUCCGGCGAGACUGCCGCGAUCAACGUGGAGGAAGGUGGGGAUGACGUCAAGUCAGCACGGCCCUUACGUCCUGGGCGACACACACGCUACAAUGGUCGGGACAAAGAGUUGCCAACCCGCGAGGGGGAGCUAAUCUCGAAAAGCCGAUCUCAGUUCAGAUUGGAGGCUGCAACCCGCCUCCAUGAAGCCGGAGUUGCUAGUAACCGUAGGUCAGCACACUACGGUGAAUACGUUCCCGGGUCUUGUACACACCGCCCGU
rnacentral:rRNA from 1 species